UAGUGGCGCACGGGUGAGUAACACGUGGGAACAUACCUUAUAGUACGGAAUAACUGCGGGAAACUGUAGCUAAUACCGUAUAUUCCAGCAAUGGGAAAGAUUUAUCGCUAUAAGAUUGGCCCGCGCAAGAUUAGCUUGUUGGUGAGGUAAAAGCUCACCAAGGCUUCGAUCUUUAGCUGGUUUGAGAGGACGAUCAGCCACACUGGGACUGAGACACGGCCCAGACUCCUACGGGAGGCAGCAGUAGGGAAUAUUGGACAAUGGGGGCAACCCUGAUCCAGCAAUGCAGCGUGAGUGACGAAGGCCUUAGGGUUGUAAAACUCUUUCAUCGGUGAGGAUAAUGACAGUAGCCGAAGAAGAAGGACCGGCUAAU
rnacentral:rRNA from 1 species